GUCCGCCGGGGAAGCGUUAU
rnacentral:misc_RNA from 1 species